rnacentral:rRNA from 1 species
ACGGGUGAGUAAUGCAUCGGGACCUACCUGAACGUGGGGGAUAACGUAGGGAAACUUACGCUAAUACCGCAUACGUCCUACGGGAGAAAGCGGGGGACCUUCGGGCCUCGCGCGGUCAGACGGACCGAUGUUCGAUUAGCUAGUUGGUAGGGUAAUGGCCUACCAAGGCGACGAUCGAUAGCUGGUCUGAGAGGAUGAUCAGCCACACUGGAACUGAGACACGGUCCAGACUCCUACGGGAGGCAGCAGUGGGGAAUAUUGGACAAUGGGCGCAAGCCUGAUCCAGCAAUGCCGCGUGUGUGGAGAAGGCCUUCGGGUUGUAAAGCACUUUUAUCAGGAGCGAAAUACUACCGGUUAAUAACCGGUGGGGCUGACGGUACCUGAGGAAUAAGCACCGGCUAACUUCGUGCCAGCAGCCGCGGUAAUACGAAGGGUGCAAGCGUUAAUCGGAAUUACUGGGCGUAAAGGGUGCGUAGGCGGUUCGUUAAGUCUGUCGUGAAAUCCCCGGGCUCAACCUGGGAAUGGCGAUGGAAACUGGCGAGCUAGAGUGUGUCAGAGGAUGGUGGAAUUCCCGGU